CAUUGUGCCCAUCCGGGAAGGGUGAGAACCUUCGACCAGGGUUCGACUCGAGCGUCAGCGAGAGAACGUUGCCGCAGGCAACGGCCCGAAGGGUGAGCAGCAAAGCUGCGAAUAAUCCUUCCCCCACCACCA
rnacentral:sRNA from 1 species